AUUGAACGCUGGCGGCAGGCCUAACACAUGCAAGUCGAGCGGCAGCGGGAAAGUAGCUUGCUACUUUUGCCGGCGAGCGGCGGACGGGUGAGUAAUGCCUGGGGAUCUGCCCAGUCGAGGGGGAUAACUACUGGAAACGGUAGCUAAUACCGCAUACGCCCUACGGGGGAGAGCAGGGGACCUUCGGGCCUUGCGCGAUUGGAUGAACCCAGGUGGGAUUAGCUAGUUGGUGAGGUAAUGGCUCACCAAGGCGACGAUCCCUAGCUGGUCUGAGAGGAUGAUCAGCCUCACUGGAACUGAGACACGGUCCAGACUCCUACGGGAGGCAGCAGUGGGGAAUAUUGCACAAUGGGGGAAACCCUGAUGCAGCCAUGCCGCGUGUGUGAAGAAGGCCUUCGGGUUGUAAAGCACUUUCAGCGAGGAGGAAAGGUUGGUAGCUAAUAACUGCCAGCUGUGACGUUACUCGCAGAAGAAGCACCGGCUAACUCCGUGCCAGCCGCCGCCGUAAAAC
rnacentral:rRNA from 1 species